rnacentral:lncRNA from 1 species
UUCCCGGUAUGUCAUCAGUGAUGGAAAAUGUCCGACAGCACCGCGGUCAGGAAAUUUUAACAACAUAUCUAUGCAGGAAAUUUUCUCACAUCUUGCCGUAAAUUUGUGUCAUAUUACUGUAUAUACUGAAGUGCCAUACAAAGUGCUAGAAAAUGUCCGGUAGCACCAGCAGCAAGUUGCCAAGAAAUUAAUUUUAUAAUAUCACCUUACACGAAGUUUUCUUCAUCUCAGACACUGGAUCGCCAUAUAAUUUACUAUUAAUAUUGCUU